rnacentral:rRNA from 1 species
AGUGAACGCUGGCGGUAGGCCUAACACAUGCAAGUCGAACGGCAGCACAGUAAGAGCUUGCUCUUACGGGUGGCGAGUGGCGGACGGGUGAGGAAUACAUCGGAAUCUACUUUUUCGUGGGGGAUAACGUAGGGAAACUUAAGCUAAUACCGCAUACGACCUACGGGUGAAAGCAGGGGAUCUUCGGACCUUGUGCGAUUGAAUGAGCCGAUGUCGGAUUAGCUAGUUGGCGGGGUAAAGGCCCACCAAGGCGACGAUCCGUAGCUGGUCUGAGAGGAUGAUCGGCCACACUGGAACUGAGACACGGUCCAGACUCCUAAGAGAAGCAGCAGUGGGGAAUAUUGGACAAUGGGCGCAAGCCUUAUCCAGCCAUACCGCGUGGGUGAAGAAGGCCUUCGGGUUGUAAAGCCCUUUUGUUGGGAAAGAAAAGCAGCAGGUUAAUACCCCGCUGUUCUGACGGUACCCAAAGAAUAAGCACCGGCUAACUUCGUG